AGUGAACGCUGGCGGUAGGCCUAACACAUGCAAGUCGAACGGCAGCACAGUAAGAGCUUGCUCUUACGGGUGGCGAGUGGCGGACGGGUGAGGAAUACAUCGGAAUCUACUUUUUCGUGGGGGAUAACGUAGGGAAACUUACGCUAAUACCGCAUACGACCUACGGUUGAAAGCAGGGGAUCUUCGGACCUUGCGCGAUUGAAUGAGCCGAUGUCGGAUUAGCUAGUUGGCGGGGUAAAGGCCCACCAAGGCGACGAUCCGUAGCUGGUCUGAGAGGAUGAUCAGCCACACUGGAACUGAGACACGGUCCAGACUCCUACGGGAGGCAGCAGUGGGGAAUAUUGGACAAUGGGCGGAAGCCUGAUCCAGCCAUACCGCGUGGGUGAAGAAGGCCUUCGGGUUGUAAAGCCCUUUUGUUGGGAAAGAAAAGCAGCAGGUUAAUACCCCGCUGUUCUGACGGUACCCAAAGAAUAAGCACCGGCUAACUUCGUG
rnacentral:rRNA from 1 species